GGGGCGGGGAGGGGCCGGACGGCGGGGCCGGAGCUGGUGCUGCUCCCGAGCCCAGCGCACCCGGGUCCCGACGCUGGCUCCAGCCUUCCUUUCCUGCAUCGCCUUGCUCUGCCCUGGCUCCACUUCUGCUCCGCUCCUCCGGGCGUCAGACCGCUGGGGCUGCGGGGUUCCCCCUCCGACUUUGCCCGGGCUGCCCCCGCUUGCACCCCGGAGCCGGGCGCGCGCGGGUCCUGGUAACUGUCGCCUCGGCCGCCGAGGCGCUUUUCCGCUGGUGGCCCGGGCGCAGCGUUCGGGAGGCGGAGGCGUGAGCGCGGCUUCCCGGCCCGGGGUCCGCAACCGCCCGUCCUACCCCGCCUCGGCCCGGUGCCCCGCAGCCGCGGCCCCUUCCGAGCGCAGGGGGCCGGCGGCCGGGGCAGGGCGGGCGUAUUCAAUGGAAGUAUGUUACCAGCUGCCGGUGCUGCCCCUGGACAGGCCGGUCCCCCAGCACGUCCUCAGCCGCCGAGGAGCCAUCAGCUUCAGCUCCAGCUCCGCGCUCUUCGGCUGCCCCAAUCCCCGGCAGCUCUCCCAGAGGCGUGGAGCUAUUUCCUAUGACAGCUCUGACCAGACUGCAUUGUACAUUCGUAUGCUAGGAGAUGUUCGCGUAAGGAGUCGAGCAGGAUUUGAAUCAGAAAGAAGAGGUUCUCAUCCGUAUAUUGAUUUUCGUAUUUUUCACGCUCAAUCUGAAAUUGAAGUUUCAGUGUCUGCAAGGAAUAUCAGAAGGUUACUAAGUUUCCAGCGGUAUCUUAGAUCAUCACGUUUUUUUCGUGGUACUACUGUUUCAAACUCUCUAAACAUUUUAGAUGAUGAUUAUAAUGGACAAGCCAAGUGUAUGCUGGGAAAAGUUGGAAAUUGGAAUUUUGAUAUCUUUCUAUUUGAUAGACUAACAAAUGGAAAUAGUCUAGUAAGUUUAACCUGUCAUUUAUUUAGUCUUCAUGGAUUAAUUGAGUACUUCCAUUUAGAUAUGGUGAAACUUCGUAGAUUUUUAGUUAUGAUUCAAGAAGAUUACCACAGCCAGAACCCGUACCACAACGCUGUCCACGCUGCCGACGUCACUCAGGCCAUGCACUGUUACCUACGAGAACCCAAGCUUGCCAACUCCGUAACUCCUUGGGAUGUCUUGCUGAGCUUAAUUGCAGCUGCCACGCAUGAUCUGGAUCAUCCAGGUGUUAAUCAACCUUUCCUUAUUAAAACGAACCAUUACUUGGCAACUUUAUACAAGAAUACCUCAGUCCUGGAAAAUCACCACUGGAGAUCUGCAGUGGGAUUAUUGAGAGAAUCCGGUUUAUUCUCGCAUAUGCCGUUAGAGAGCAGGAAACAAAUGGAGACUCAGAUAGGUGCUUUGAUACUAGCCACAGACAUCAGUCGCCAAAACGAGUAUCUGUCGUUGUUUAGGUCCCAUUUGGAUAGAGGCGACUUAUGCCUGGAAGAUGCCAGACACAGGCAUUUGGUUUUACAGAUGGCUUUGAAAUGUGCUGAUAUUUGUAACCCAUGUCGGACCUGGGAAUUAAGCAAGCAGUGGAGUGAAAAAGUAACAGAGGAAUUCUUCCAUCAAGGAGACAUAGAGAAGAAGUAUCAUUUGGGUGUGAGUCCGUUUUGUGAUCGUCAGACUGAGUCUAUUGCCAACAUCCAGAUUGGUUUUAUGACAUACCUAGUGGAGCCUUUAUUCACAGAAUGGGCCAGGUUUUCCAAUACCAGGCUGUCCCAGACGAUGCUCGGCCACGUGGGGCUGAACAAAGCCAGUUGGAAGGGACUGCAGAGAGAACAGCCCGGCAGUGAGGACCCCGAAGCUGCAUUCGAGGAGUUGAACUCAUAGUUAUUACCUCAGGAAACCGGUUAUCAUUACCCAGAACCAGUGGACAGGCUGCCUCCUGGAGGUCAGAACGUGACGUGGGGCUGGAGGUGAGGGAACUGACUCUCGACUGCAAGGUUUCCGGGUGGAUGAUGCCAGGAUCUCCUCUGUCGGUCACUUGAACCCACUUUUUAAUGAUGAGACCUGAACACACAGCAAUAUGGAUAUGGCUCUCAUGGGAAACCUUGAAUCUGCAAAGCCCAGCAGGAGUGAAUCCGAAAGGAGAAGCAAAGGAAGUUUUGCAGAGUGCCAGGUGUUUCUCAAAGCAUUUACUCUGCGAACAUGAAACUUGAACUGAAUCUUUCAGCAGAAAUCUCUUGGAAUUCAACCAGUCUCAUGCAACCUUGUGUGUCUGUACCUCCCACUAAGUUCUCUGAGAGACGGAAAUGUGAAGUGCCCAGCUCUGCUGCCUCUGGCCAGACUCGAUGUUUACAAUCCACUCUGAAAUACUGGUUCUACAUUUGCCUUGGAGCAUAAUUGUUAAGGAACCACUAAGAAUUUUAAAGAUCAAACUUCAAACUGCAGCUCCUUCCCCCUGGUUUGCCUUUCUUCUCCUUUGGAUGCCACCAAAGCCUCCCAUUUGCUCUGGUUUUAUUUGUGCACUGAAAACCGUGCACUCUCAUAGCGUGCGCCAAGCUUCCCCUCCAGUGCUCUUCGGCAGUGCACUUUUUUUAACGCUUAGUUUUAAUUUGGGGCGGGCGGGGAAGAGCACCCGUGUCCUAGCUGUAUUAUGAUUCUGCAGUGAAGACAUUGCAUGUUGUUUUCACUACUGUACACUUGACCUGCACAUGCAAGAAAAGGUGGAAUGUGUAAAACACCAUAAUCAGCUCAGGGUAUUGCCAAUCUGAAAUAAAGUGGGAUGGGGAAGUGUGUCCUUCAGAGCAAGGGUACUAAAGCCCCUUUCGCUGCAGUGAGAGGCAGAUCUUCUUGGGAAGCCAGAUUGUGAUCAGCCGGUUACUUGGUGAGCAUGGAUUCUGAGCAAGGCAAGCAAGUUGCCUCAUGCAUCCGUCUCCCUAUGGGGCCAUACCUGCUGAUGCCGUGUUUAUGGAACAGGGUUCCCUCUUCCUGUGGACGAUGCUAGAGGUUCCCUGCCAUUCGCUGCUUCUCCACAUCAGCUUCUGAUUGGCACUUGCAGUAGAUAUGUCAGUACCUUCAGCCUUGUCUCCUUUGAACUGGCCUGGGCAAAAUCUGCCUGUGUCUGAUUGAUGGCUUUUGCUCUGAUCCACUAUGUUUCUUACUGAUGUUCAAAGGAUUGUCUUAUUUCCACUCUCAGGGGGAGACUUCUCAGUGUUGCUCUCAUUUCCUGCCCAACACAUAUAAUAAACUGGUUUUUUUGUUACGUUACGUAUAUGUGGGAAUCACUGUCUAUACUGCUUUUUGAAAUAUGACCUAUGUUCCUUGAACAUUAAUUUUCUAGAAAAAUUUGAGAAAACAGUUCAGUAACUUAGAAGAUCACAUUUGAAAUAAUUAUAUUAUGGAACGGAAUGCAAAAUUUUAAAGAUAAAACAGGAGACUUCAAAGAAUUGUUGAGCAUAAUGUAGCAGCCCAUUGGGGUUCCAGGCCCAAUUCUUCAGUUGUGGGGGGCAUCUGCUAUGCUUGGGGGUAAAGUCCUUGGAGAGAAAAUUUUGGCAAGCCUUAGCUGAAUGAGAAAAUAUCUGGUUCCUGUCAGUAUUUAUACUCUGUAAAUGUGAUGGUUCAUAAUGAUUCUCUGUAUAAAAUAACUAUUUUAUGUCCUUUGCAAACCUGGGAAAUAUAUCUGUACCUAACAUACAGAUUUAGAGGUGCUAAUAAUUCUUUGAAGAUUCCUGUAACAGUCUCUUUUUCCAAAAUGCUUUGUCUCCUAAAGCUUUCACUUUUCUUAAAACUUUUACAUCAGAGAUUUACAAUGUUUUCAUGUGCACUUUUUUAAAUGUAUAUUUUGUUUAAAUCCCCUCCUAAUCAGUACCUCCUUGCUUGGGAAAAUAUAUAAUGACUGAUAGCUACUGCGCAUUCAGUAAUGUUUUUAAAUAAAUGUGCAUAUUAAACACCAUUGGAUCAGCAGACAUUGGAAGCCUAAGUUUGUACAAAUAUGUGCAAGAUUGAGUCUGAGCCACUCCUUGCUUGCUGUGGAUCUGCAGACAACCCGUCUUCUGGAAGGCCCCAGAGGUCCACGGUGGAAUGACGGGGGUGAGCUGACUGGUGCGUGUCUGGGGCAGGGGGCGGGAGACAAGUUCUCCAUCUUGUCUGGUGCUCAGCAUAGGGCUAGCGUAAAUUGGGCAAUCAAUAAGAGGUUGUUGAGUAAAUGACUUGGUGGUUUAAUUAUGUUUCCUUUUUAGCUGUCAUUAAGAGAAAUUAUACUGAAACUGGUCUGUUUAUGCUGAAGUAUGUGGUAAGCAAUACCCAAGCUCCUGUUGUGUGCACAGCACUGCGCUGGGUGUAAUAAAGGCACUAAAAGUUCCAGAA